rnacentral:lncRNA from 1 species
GCUUCGGCUUUAAAUUUCUCAGCAACGUAUGCUAAUGUUUACGAAUUCGUGGCAAUGGGUGCUAUUGUAUAAAAUAUGUCUUUCGAUGUAAAACAGUAUAAAAUAGUAGAUGUUUUGCCUAAUUACUAAGAUGUUGACGAAGUUUAUUGUAAAAAGGUGGUUCGGUGGACUUCAAAAAGUUUCGUUUAAAGGAAAAACUGUGCAAAAUGUUGAACCUGUUCUAUGCACCGUCAAGACAAAUAACUGAAAACUGA